rnacentral:rRNA from 1 species
UACAGAGGGGGCGAGCGUUGUCCGGAAUCACUGGGCGUAAAGGGCGCGUAGGCGGCCUGGUAAGUAGGGGGUGAAAUCUUGCGGCUCAACUGCAAGGCUGCCUCCUAAACUGUCAGGCUUGAGCACAGUAGAGGCAGGUGGGAUUCCCGGUGUAGCGGUGGAAUGCGUAGAGAUCGGGAAGAACAUCGGUGGCGAAGGCGGCCUGCUGGGCUGUUGCUGACGCUGAGGCGCGACAGCGUGGGGAGCAAACAGG